GCGGCAGAUUAGUGAAAUAAUAAAUCUGAAAGUGGCGCCGAUGGACCAUUUGCGGGUGAAGACGACGAUUUUGAGAGGGUCAGCGGUGGGUUUUACUCUUCGUCGGAGAAUUUGUCGAAGUGGAGGUCGCCGGACGACAACUUGGAGAAGAGAUUUGAGCGGGAGGAGAAGGAUGUUAAAGAGAAUUGCUGCAAGCAGAUGGCGGCGGAGGAGGAGUUGUGGCGGAGGAGGCUUGGGCAACUGGUGAAGUAGAACUUGAUUUUCUAAUGGCGGUGGAGGAAGCUUGG
rnacentral:lncRNA from 1 species